rnacentral:rRNA from 1 species
GACGAACGCUGGCGGCGUGCUUAACACAUGCAAGUCGAACGAAGUGGCGAACGGGUGAGUAAUACGUGGGUAACCUGCCCUCCUUUUUGGGAUAAGCCUUGGAAACGGGGUCUAAUACCGAACAAAGGGGGAUGGGCUCGGGGCCUAUCAGCUUGUUGGUGGGGUGAUGGCCUACCAAGGCGGUGACGGGUAGCCGGCCUGAGAGGGUGACCGGCCACAUUGGGACUGAGAUACGGCCCAGACUCCUACGGGAGGCAGCAGUGGGGAAUUUUGGACAAUGGGCGCAAGCCUGAUGCAGCCAUGCCGCGUGUAUGAAGAAGGCCUUCGGGUUGUAAAGUACUUUUGGCGGGGAAGCGGUACCCGCAGAAUAAGCACCGGCUAACUCCGUGCCAGCCGCCGCGGUAAUUC